GAACCUGCGGAAGGAUCAUUAUUGUACAACGGAGGUGUGAGGGCUGUCGCUGACCUUCAAAGGUCGUGCACGCCCAAGCACUUUCAUACAAUCCAUCUCACCCCUUUGUGCAUCACCGCGUGGGUCCCCCUUGCGGGAGGGCUCGCGUUUUCACAUAAAACUCGAUACAGUGUAGAAUGUUCUUUUGCGAUCACACGCAAUCAAUACAACUUUCAACAACGGAUCUCUUGGCUCUCGCAUCGAUGAAGAACGCAGCGAAAUGCGAUACGUAAUGUGAAUUGCAGAAUUCAGUGAAUCAUCGAAUCUUUGAACGCACCUUGCGCCCCUUGGCAUUCCGAGGGGCACACCCGUUUGAGUGUCGUGAAAUCCUCAAAAACCCUUUUCCUGUCAGGAAUGGGAUUUUUGGACUUGGAGGUUCAAUGCUUGCCUUUCACUUUUGAAAGUGAGCUCCUCUCAAAUGAAUUAGUGGGGUCCGCUUUGCUGAUCCUUAACGUGAUAAGAUGCUUCUACGUUUUGGAUCUAGCACUGUCCCUUGGACGCCUGCUCCUAACUGUCCCACACGGACAAUGAUGGUGCUCUGGUCACCGCCAUCUACAUUGGCGGGAGGCUGGACCCACAAAACGAAAACCUUGACCUCAAAUCGGGUGAGACUACCCGCUGAACUUAAGCAUAUCAAUA
rnacentral:rRNA from 1 species